rnacentral:lncRNA from 1 species
AUGUUAAGUAUUGCAGAGCAAGUUAACUCUCUAUAUAAACUAAAACAGCAGAACUGGUUUUGUUUUAAUUACAUUGGUUUUACAUUUUUAAAUUUUGCAUUCAAAUUGGUUUCAGCAAUUCUCGACCUUCUGCAUUUUCCCCUCGACUGCAAAGAGAUACUACUUCUGGUCAAAGGAUUUGUUGGUGUUGGACUAACCUGUUUAUGCCAAUUGAAGUAAGCUGAAGACAAAAGGGAAAAAUAGGAGGAGAGAGAAAUGUGGACACUUUAAGAGCAGUUGAAGAAGCAGAUUGACUGAAGAGUAAGUCUCCUUGCCAGACUGGGACAGUUGGGAGGUAUGUAUAUCAUGGGUCCACCAGAGAGCGAAUCCUAAAGAUGGCUCUCAUUUCAAACAAUGCCCACAUGAAAAGAGCUAUUACUGUCCUAUUGGCCCUGGGAGGAUGUAUUCCGUCUAACUCGAAAACGGAGGUAAUCAGGACUUUAAACAAAUCUUCUGAAAUAUAGUAGCUGCCUAUCUAAUACAGCAUCCACCAAAUGAAAUGUGAGACCUGCUGCUAAUCUUAGAAGUUCUGUGCAUAAGUAUAAGAAGUUCCAAUUUCAGCCUUUAAUGUCAUUUUAAGGCUAUUUUUUUAAAUGUAAUUAUAGCUCCAAUUGCAUUUGACAUCUGAAGCUGACAAUAGUGACAUAGAAAGGGACAUGGCAAAAAUAGCUCUGCUCAAACUCUAUUAGCCAUUGGAGAAAGGGAAGCAUUUGUCCAACAAAUUCAUGCAAAUUAUUUGCAGUUGAAGAAGGAAGCCAGUGAUUUUGCUGGUGUAUACAGACUGCAAAACUUUCUCUGUCUUCAGCCUUUGAUUGUUUAUCUGGUGCCAUUUCAAAUGUAUGUGUCCCAUUGCUCUGACCUUUAUUGCUCUGCUUUCUAUCCCUCUCCUCUCCUCAUGGUUCUGUGACUUGUCGGCUUGAAAUCAGAAGAUUGGCUGCCUUAAUCUGUCAUGUUAAGUUUGUUUCCUUUGAGAUUGGGGUCUCAGUGUGUUGUAGGUCAGUUUAAAUCACUUUGGAGAGUACUAGAGUUUUGGUGACCGAGUUCCAUUUGACACAGAAGAAAGAAAGUAGAUUAAGAAGUGACAUGUUGGCAGCUUUAAAAUAUCUGAAGUGCUGUCACAUAGUAUGAAGCAGAUUUGGUUUUUUUGUGCCAAACAAUAUGAUUAGGACCUGUAUAGGAAAGCAGGUGGCAAUGUCAUCCCAUGCUCCAGCUGUGAUCAAUGAGGAAGAUUUCUUAAAGCAAGGCAUUGUGGAGGAAGUGGCCCCCAGAGUCUUCUACUAUUGCAUACUAUUAGUGUGGCGUACUAUUAGCCAUUAUUUUAUACCUUUUAUAUUGCAUAUAUUUAUUUUAUAUAUAAAUUUAACUACUAAUUCCUAGACUUUCUAUUUUAUCCAACGUUAUCAGCACCAAUAGCGUUCAAGAUGUUUGCAGUCGGUUCUAGGUGAACAGCAUUGGCUUCUUUGAGUGGUAGUAUAUGGAACAAGUAUACAAAACAACCAUUCCCGUGUUGAGGUUAGAAUUACCACUUUAUAAAAGAAAGUUAAUAAUACCACAUGCAAAGGAGGGCUGGUAUGGGUGUUUCCUGGGGUUUGGCAGUGGGGGUGUCCUCCUGAUAUGAAUUACUGUAUGCACCCAUCUCUAAAAUAGUAGCAUUGUAAAGUCAUUCACAUCGACUUCACAAUUGAUGUAUUUAUAUUCUCCCUUAACAAGUUUUUCUGCACUAUUUCUUUGCAUACUUAAAUUGUGUUUUUAAUACAAGUUACUGCAAUGGUACACAUAUUGCAACAUUUUGGGGGGAGGCAGAAUUCUUAUUGGAGGGCAAUGUCCUCUGCUGUAGUUAAACCCCAGAUGGAGCGCCUGUGAAGGUUUUUAGUAGGUUUGGGAAGUAAUGCAGGAAGAAGAAUAGCAGGUAUUCCUAAAAUUCUCUCUACCUAAUUAAUAAAAAACACAGAUAUUUAAAUUCCAUGUUGCAAUAUACAUGUAACUUUUAACUUACUGUUGAUAACAUUGAAAUAUCAUAGUCACUCCACCGUCAUUUGGAGAUUUAUUUUUCCCCAUGAACACUUCUUGAUUUUGUUGAAACUUUACAGUGCAUAAUGUUCUGAUUGGAUAUAUAAAAUGAAUGCUGUUCUGCUCCAAUUGGGUUGAUGCAAUAGCUCUCCAAUGCUAUACAAAGAACAAGCUGAUUGACAAUUCACAAUUUUUGCUGUGUUGGUCAGUUAGUCAUCAAAUUAGGAUUACAAACAAUAGCAUAUAAGGCUUAGAAGUAACAAACACAGCACAAAAUCUGAAUUAUAUAUUCAUAUAUACAUUUAUUGCACACUCGCAUACACAUUUUGAUAAGUUCUGUCAACUGUUGUUGUUUUGUUCCUUGAGUGGAUGGCUCAUAUGAUUAACUAGAAUUGUGAACUGCAGAUUUCAAUGCAGCACACAGCAUGAAAGUGCCAAUCAGCGAAUGUGACCUUAAAAUCCAUUACAAAAAAGUAUUAAAUUAGUAAAAGCUAUUUUGCAACUCAUAAAAUGUCCUGAUUUGGGGGCUUGCUACAAUGAAAAUGGCCUAACUUCAGUUGGUCAAAUUCUCCUAUAAUUUCCAAAGUUAAUUUUUGAACAUAUCUGUUCUAUCAAACACACACACACACCGAGAUAGGGAAAGGGAAUAAAAUACUGAAUAUGUGUUCAAUCAGUUAUACAUGUUGAUUGUGGUGCAUAAGUGAAAUCACAUCAGCAACCAUUUGUAUAUUUUUCUAACCUACAUCUUUCAAUUUUCAUUGUCUUUCACCGUGUCUCCACCCACAUCUCUUUACACUUAUUCCUUCCAACUCUGUAUGUUUCUUGUCUUGCCUUCUGAUUUCUAUUGCUCCAUGCUGGACUCAAUGACAGUACAUAACACAUUCAAUCUGUCUUUCAAUUUGUGUACUGUAGACCUUUCCAAACCCUGGUGGCAAAUCCUGAUUUGCAACUGAGUGUACAUCGGGGAGCUAUAGAUAGCCCUUGUUCUCUGAAUAUACCAGUGUGAUCUAUGUGUUUCAAGAAACACAUUUGUCUUAUCCAGACAUUACAUUUAUAGAUAUACACUUAGUAGUGUUAUGUGUGAAGUGGUCUUUAAGGACUCUCAGAUGAAAGUAAGGUGCUCAGAUUGGAAUAAUCUGGAAUGCCAUCUUAGUGCAUACCUACAAAAAGGAGGAGCAAAACAAAACACAAUAGUCAUGUCCUUUAUUAAGUGAGAAUCAUACAUGUUUCUGCAAGUUAUGAGAAGUUGACAAACUGGUGCACUGUCGAAAUGGUUGAUAUAACUGUUUUCAUUCUAUGAUUUAAUUGUAUUUCAGAAUUACAAAGAUUUGUCCAUUUUUUAAAAAUUAGUUUUUGGCUACUUCUGCACUGCCAUAUAAUCUAGUUCAAAGCAGAUAAUCUGGAUUUCAUAUGCCAGUGUAGAAGGGGCCUUUAUGUGCAUCUGGUUCUAGUCCAAGUCUUAGGAAAAAGAAGUCAUAGGCAGAUAAAUGGAUGGAUUUUUGUGGACUGCAAAGGGUCAGAGAUGGGACCCCACAUUGUGCAGACCCAAUGAUGAUAUACUAAAAUGGAUAUCAUUGUGGACAGUUUCCCCAUUCAUUAAAUUCUAUUUUAAAGGUGUUUCUUUUAUGAUGAGAAAACAUAGAAAGCCAAAUUAGAAAAAAAAUCCAUAUUUACUUUUUAAAAUAUUUGCAAGAGUUGCUGCAUCUUUCCUUUAUAC